rfam:Erwinia mallotivora strain BT-MARDI contig_65, whole genome shotgun sequence.
AAAGAUCGAUACCGAGGGGGGCAUAACGCCCCGGAGAAUUUCCUGCUCACGCAGGCAGCCUGUACCGCGUACAGUCUGAAACUCCCUAUACCUCAACAGCCUGUUACCCCGGCGUGAAGGUAUCGUUCU